rnacentral:rRNA from 1 species
UACAGAGGUGGCAAGCGUUGUUCGGAAUUACUGGGCGUAAAGGGCGCGUAGGCGGUUCGUUAAGUCCUGUGUGAAAUCCCCCGGCUCAACUGGGGAACUGCACGGAAACUAGCGGGCUUGAGUUCGGGAGAGGGAAGCGGAAUUCCCGGUGUAGCGGUGAAAUGCGCAGAUAUCGGGAAGAACACCCGUGGCGAAGGCGGCUCUCUGGGACGGUACUGGACGCUGAGACGCGAAAGCGUGGGGAGCGA